CAGCAGCCGCGGGAAUACGUAGGGUGCGAGCGUUAAUCGGAAUUACUAGGCGUAAAGCGUGCGCAGGCGGUUUUGUAAGACAGGCGUGAAAUCCCCGGGCUCAACCUGGGAAUGGCGCUUGUGACUGCAAAGCUAGAGUGCGGCAGAGGGAGAUGGAAUUCCGCGUGUAGCAGUGAAAUGCGUAGAUAUGCGGAGGAACACCGAUGGCGAAGGCAAUCCCCUGGGCCUGCACUGACGCUCAUGCACGAAAGCGUGGGGAGCAAACAGGAUUAGAUACCCGGGUAGUCCCUGUCUCUUAUAC
rnacentral:rRNA from 1 species